rnacentral:rRNA from 2 species
AAAUUGAAGAGUUUGAUCAUGGCUCAGAUUGAACGCUGGCGGCAGGCCUAACACAUGCAAGUCGAACGGUAACAGGAAGCAGCUUGCUGCUUCGCUGACGAGUGGCGGACGGGUGAGUAAUGUCUGGGAAACUGCCUGAUGGAGGGGGAUAACUACUGGAAACGGUGGCUAAUACCGCAUAACGUCGCAAGACCAAAGAGGGGGACCUUCGGGCCUCUUGCCAUCAGAUGUGCCCAGAUGGGAUUAGCUUGUUGGUGAGGUAACGGCUCACCAAGGCGACGAUCCCUAGCUGGUCUGAGAGGAUGACCAGCCACACUGGAACUGAGACACGGUCCAGACUCCUACGGGAGGCAGCAGUGGGGAAUAUUGCACAAUGGGCGCAAGCCUGAUGCAGCCAUGCCGCGUGUAUGAAGAAGGCCUUCGGGUUGUAAAGUACUUUCAGCGGGGAGGAAGGUGUUGCGGUUAAUAACCGCAGCAAUUGACGUUACCCGCAGAAGAAGCACCGGCUAACUCCGUGCCAGCAGCCGCGGUAAUACGGAGGGUGCAAGCGUUAAUCGGAAUUACUGGGCGUAAAGCGCACGCAGGCGG